rnacentral:rRNA from 1 species
GUAGGUGGCAAGCGUUGUCCGGAAUUAUUGGGCGUAAAGCGCGCGCAGGCGGUUCUUUAAGUCUGAUGUGAGAGCCCACGGCUCAACCGUGGAGGGUCAUUGGAAACUGGAGAACUUGAGUACAGAAGAGGAAAGCGGAAUUCCACGUGUAGCGGUGAAAUGCGUAGAGAUGUGGAGGAACACCAGUGGCGAAGGCGGCUUUCUGGUCUGUAACUGACGCUGAGGCGCGAAAGCGUGGGGAGCAAACAGGAUUAGAUACCCUGGUAGUCCACGCCGUAAACGAUGAGUGCUAAGUGUUAGGGGGUUUCCGCCCCCCUUAGUGCUGCAGCUAACGCAUUAAGCACUCCGCCUGGGAUACGGCCGCAAGGCUG